rnacentral:rRNA from 1 species
UACGAAGGGGGCUAGCGUUGCUCGGAAUUACUGGGCGUAAAGCGCGUGUAGGCGGUUGUCCAAGUUGGAUGUGAAAGCCUUGAGCUCAACUCAAGAAAUGCAUUCAGGACUGGAUGACUAGAGGACCGGAGAGGAUAGUGGAAUUCCCAGUGUAGUGGUGAAAUACGUAGAGAUUGGGAAGAACACCAGUGGCGAAGGCGGCCUUCUGGACAGUGACUGACGCUGAGACGCGAAAGCGUGGGGAGCAAACAGG